rnacentral:lncRNA from 1 species
GGUGGGUUAUUAGGAGCUGUAGGGCUUGGGGUGGGGUGUAAUUUGUAGCUGCGGGGUUGUGUGGGUGCUGUGGUGGUCUAUAGGGUGUGGCUUUGUGGGGGGCUACAGUGGGCUUGUGGAGCUUUGAGGGGCGUGUGGGCUCUGAGGUGUAAUUUGGGGCUUUAAAGGUGUGUUUUGGGUGCCCCAUUGGUCCGUAGUGAGCUGCAGGAGGACGCCCUGUGGGGCUGUAGGGGAGCGUUGGGGCUGUAGGACCUGAAGUGGGAUGUAAUUUGGGGUCGUAGUGGUGUGGGGCUGUAGUGGGCUACGAGUGUAAAGGGCUGCCCUGUGGGGCUGCAGCAGUGGACACCGUGGAGCUCGGGGUAGGACGUAGUUUGUGUCUGCAAGGCUGUAUGGGGGCUGUGGGAUCCAUCCCAUGGGGCUGUAGGGGGAUGCCCUGAGGGGCUGCAGUGGGUUGUAGGGUCAAGGGGAUGCUCCAUGAGCUGCGUGGGGGAGGGGCUGUAGCAAAACCCCAGCAUGAUGUGACCUCGUCCAGCUCCUGCGCUGAUCCCUGUUAAAUUAAAUUGUUUCACCCAGAACCCCCACCAAAGUGAA